UGCGCAGGCGGCUUCCUAAGUCAGAUGUGAAAUCCCCGGGCUUAACCUGGGAACUGCGUUUGAAACUGGGAGGCUAGAGUGUGGCAGAGGGGGGUGGGAAUUCCACGUGUAGCAGUGAAAUGCGUAGAUAUGUGGAGGAACACCGAUGGCGAAGGCAGCCCCCUGGGCCUGCACUGACGCUCAUGCACGAAAGCGUGGGGGAGCAAACA
rnacentral:rRNA from 1 species